AGCGAACGCUGGCGGCAGGCCUAACACAUGCAAGUCGAACGAACUCUUCGGAGUUAGUGGCGGACGGGUGAGUAACACGUGGGAACGUGCCUUUUGGUUCGGAAUAACUCAGGGAAACUUGUGCUAAUACCGAAUGUGCCCUUCGGGGGAAAGAUUUAUCGCCAUUAGAGCGGCCCGCGUCUGAUUAGCUAGUUGGUGAGGUAACGGCUCACCAAGGCGACGAUCAGUAGCUGGUCUGAGAGGAUGACCAGCCACACUGGGACUGAGACACGGCCCAGACUCCUACGGGAGGCAGCAGUGGGGAAUCUUGCGCAAUGGGCGAAAGCCUGACGCAGCCAUGCCGCGUGAAUGAUGAAGGUCUUAGGAUUGUAAAAUUCUUUCACCGGGGACGAUAAUGACGGGACCCGGAGAAGAAGCCCCGGCUAACUUCGU
rnacentral:rRNA from 1 species